UACGGGGGGGGCAAGCGUUGUUCGGAAUUACUGGGCGUAAAGGGCUCGUAGGCGGCCAACUAAGUCAGACGUGAAGUCCCCAGGCUCAACCUGGGAACUGCGUCUGAUACUGGAUGGCUUGAAUCCGGGAGAGGGAUGCAGAAUUCCAGGUGUAGCGGUGAAAUGCGUAGAGAUCAUGAGGAAGACCAGUGGCGAAGGCGGGUCUCUGGACAGUUCCUGACACUGAGGCACGAAGGCCAGGGGAGCAAACGGG
rnacentral:rRNA from 1 species